UAAAGUGUCAAUGCUUAACGUCAUUAAACAUGCUAUAAUGAAAUAAUGAAAAAUCUUUCUACAUUGAAAUAGCAUGGAUAAAACUCUUUGUUGAAAGUUUAAUUUUGUUUUGAAAUCAAUCGAGACCGUCGUUAGAAUCGUUGGUCAAAUCAAGAGGCUACCGUGUUAUCAAGGACAAAUUUACACGCACAAAAAGAGUUCGUGUCGGAGGAUCUUGAACCUAAGUGUUCUCACGUGACUUCCGCUAAUAUCAAGAGGGAAUCAUCAAAACGGGCUUAUGAUAUGAUUAAAAGCGACUGUCAGCGUUAUUUCCUGCGAUUUUACUUUAAAUAAUUUCUAUAGUGUGGGAUAACCCGAUGCGACCUUA